rnacentral:tRNA from 6 species
GCGGGUGUGGUUCAAUGGUAGAAUAACUCCCUUCCAAGGAGUAGACGGCAGUUCGAUUCUGCUCACCCGCUCAA